rnacentral:rRNA from 1 species
CAGUGCCACGGGAAAACGGAGGGAGCUAGCGUUGUUCGGAAUUACUGGGCGUAAAGCGCGCGUAGGCGGUUACUCAAGUCAGAGGUGAAAGCCCAGGGCUCAACCCCGGAACUGCCUUUGAAGCUAGGUAACUAGAAUCUUGGAGAGGUCAGUGGAAUUCCGAGUGUAGAGGUGAAAUUCGUAGAUAUUCGGAAGAACACCAGUGGCGAAGGCGGCUCACUGGACGACUGUUGACGCUGAGGUACGAAAGCGUGGGGAGCAAACAGGAUUAGAUACCCCCGUAGUCCCUGUCUCUUAUACA